GGCACUUCUUAUCUGUCUAUGCUCCUCAACUCUUUCUAGGCUCAACUUAUCUUCUCGUAUAGAAGAUGUUCCGCCAUUGUCUUCCCCUAUAGCAUACAACCUGACUUUCUUACUCCUGUCAGAGUCAGUUUUUAUCUCGCUACUUUCCGGGUACGUAUUAUUUUUGUCUCCGUUUGAAUUUUUAAGGCUAUCCAACUGCACAUUAUCCUUUUCUUUGGUGCUAUCCUUCCUUUCCAAACGUCUAGAGUCCCUUUCCGUUGCAUUUUCAGAGUCCCCACCAAGUAGCUUUUCAUUUUUACCUUGAUUCCUUGUCUGGGAACCAUCACCAUCAGAAAACCUUGAAGUUGAUUUCCUUCGGACACUCUCAUUAGCUAGGAAUUGUCCUCUAUCCCCAGCUCUGUCUCCAUUAUCAUACUUGCCCCCAAGUUCUCCAUCCCGAUAC
rnacentral:misc_RNA from 1 species